rnacentral:rRNA from 1 species
UAGGGAAUUUUUCACAAUGAGCGAAAGCUUGAUGGAGCAAUGCCGCGUGAACGAUGAAGGUCUUUAAGAUUGUAAAGUUCUUUUAUUUGGGAAGAAUGACUUUAGCAGGUAAUGGCUAGAGUUUGACUGUACCAUUUUGAAUAAGUGACGACUAACUAUGUGCCAGCAGUCGCGGUAAUACAUAGGUCGCAAGCGUUAUCCGGAUUUAUUGGGCGUAAAGCAAGCGCAGGCGGAUUGAAAAGUCUGGUGUUAAAGGCAGCUGCUUAACAGUUGUAUGCAUUGGAAACUAUUAAUCUAGAGUGUGGUAGGGAGUUUUGGAAUUCCAUGUGGAGCGGUGAAAUGCGUAGAUAUAUGAAGGAACACCAGUGGCGAAGGCGAAAACUUAGGCCAUUACUGACGCUUAGGCUUGAAAGUGUGGGGAGCAAAUAGGAUUAGAUACCCUAGUAGUCCACACCGUAACGAUAGAUACUAGCUGUCGGGGCGAUCCCCUCGGUAGUGAAGUUAACACAUUAAGUAUCUCGCCUGGGUAGUACAUUCGCAAGAAUG